rnacentral:misc_RNA from 1 species
GAAAUGCGAUAAGUAGUGUGAAUUGCAGAAUUCAGUGAAUCAUCGAAUCUUUGAACGCACCUUGCGCUCCUCGGUAUUCCUUGGAGCAUGCCUGUUUGAGUAUCAUGAAAUCUUCAAAGUAAAUCUUUUGUUAACUCAAUUGGUUUCUACUUUGGUAUUGGAGGUCUUUGCAGCUUCACACCUGCUCCUCUUUGUUCAUUAGCUGGAUCUCAGUGUUAUGCUUGGUUCCACUCGGCGUGAUAAGUUAUCUAUCGCUGAGGACACUGUAAAAGGUGGCCAAGGUAAAUGCAGAUGAACCGCUUCUAAUAGUCCAUUGACUUGGACAAUACUUUUAUGAUCUGAUCUCAAAUCAGGUAGGACUACCCGCUGAACUUAAGC